CCUACGGGGGGCAGCAGUCGAGAAUCAUUCACAAUGGGGGAAACCCUGAUGGUGUGACGCCGCGUGGGGGAAUGAAGGUCUUCGGAUUGUAAACCCCUGUCAUGUGGGAGCAAAUUAAAAAGAUAGUACCACAAGAGGAAGAGACGGCUAACUCUGUGCCAGCAGCCGCGGUAAUACAGAGGUCUCAAGCGUUGUUCGGAAUCACUGGGCGUAAGGCGUGCGUAGGCUGUUUCGUAAGUCGUGUGUGAAAGGCGCGGGCUCAACCCGCGGACGGCACAUGAUACUGCGAGACUAGAGUAAUGGAGGGGGAACCGGAAUGCUCGGUGUAGCAGUGAAAUGCGUAGAUAUCGAGAGGAACACUCGUGGCGAAGGCGGGUUCCUGGACAUUAACUGACGCUGAGGCACGAAGGCCAGGGGAGCGAAAGGGAUUAGAUACCCUGGUAGUC
rnacentral:rRNA from 1 species